rnacentral:rRNA from 1 species
GAACUGCUUUCCGAACUGGUAGACUAGAGUACGGGAGAGGGUAGUGGAAUUCCUGGUGUAGCGGUGGAAUGCGUAAAUAUCAGGAGGAACACCAGUGGCGAAGGCUGCUGCCUGGAACGUUACUGACGCUGAGGCGCGAAAGCUAGGGGAGCGAACGGGAUUAGAUACCCCGNGUAGUCCUANGCCGUAAACGAUGGACACUAGGUGUUGGAGGAUCGACCCCUUCAGUGCUGUUCUGUUAACGCGUUAAGUGUCCCGCCUGGGGAGUACGGCCGCAAGGCUAAAACUCAAAGGAAUUGACGGGGGCCCGCACAAGCGGUGGAGCAUGUUGGUUAAUUGGAUGAUACGCCAAGAACCUUACCAGGGCUUGACAUGUCGCUGACGAUCUGGGAAACCA